rnacentral:rRNA from 1 species
AUAUCAAUAAGCGGAGGAAAAGAAACCAACAGGGAUUGCCCUAGUAACGGCGAGUGAAGCGGCAACAGCUCAAAUUUGAAAUCUGGCCUUGGCCCGAGUUGUACUUUGUAGAGGAAGCUUCAGGCACGGCACCUUCUGAGUCCCCUGGAACGGGGCGCCACAGAGGGUGAGAGCCCCGUAUAGUUGGAUGCUUAGCCUGUGUGAAGCUCCUUCGACGAGUCGAGUAGUUUGGGAAUGCUGCUCAAAAUGGGAGGUAAAUUUCUUCCAAAGCUAAAUAUUGGUGCGAGACCGAUAGCGAACAAGUACCGUGAGGGAAAGAUGAAAAGAACUUUGAAAAGAGAGUUAAAGAGUACCUGAAACUGCUGAAAGGGAAGCGAAUCGUAUCCAGUGUCUAUAAUCUGCGGCAUAUUUCAUUGGCGGCGGUGCGCGUGCUUUUGCGUCGGAAGCGGCUUUUGUUGCUCUGUGCUUUUGCUGUGCGUGGUGUUGCUGGUGCCCUGUGUUGCGGUGGGACGUCAGAGUCAGUUUGUAUGCUGCGGGAAAUGGCUGCCGAGGAGGUAGGUCGAGAUUUCGGUCUUGGCUGUUAUAUCUUGGUGGUUUGUUGUCGUGGUUGAGACUGAGGUGCCUACAAUGUGCUUUUGAGUGUACCGGGUUCUCAUUUGGUGGACUGUUUGGAUAGCUUGCUAUGCUUGUGGUUUUUUCAUCGGGUGAUUGAGUCUGGUGGUAACUUAUUGCCGUUCGGGACUUUGACGAAAUGGAGCGAUUCGG